GUAUUAUUAAAUAUAUUAUAACAACUUUGAUUUACAUGAUUAUAGCAUCGCGGUUUAUCCCAUUCAACUUUCGAACCCAUUUCUGUGUGUUGUCUGACACGUAUUUCCUAACUUUUUCACUUGCAACUAGCAACACGCUGUAGUUCAUUGUCACGUCGUUACGGAAAAAAAAAAAAAAAAUAUUGUUUUGAUACUCCAUGGUUUUUAGGUUAUAAAUACAAAAUUGAGUUUGUUCAUGUGUUAUGCAUUUAAUUCUGAACUACUCAAUCGAUUGUGAAGAAAUUUUACUAAGAUUUUAUCAAGGGUAUAAGAAAAGACAUGGAAUGCCCUUCGUCCAGAAAAGAAAGUGGUAUUCCCGAAGGAUGGACCUUUUGUCUAGCAUAAAGCGAGAGAAAAUCGCCGGAUCCCCACCCGCGCGGCAGGUGGGGUAUGUGGGAGUUGAACCUCACUAAAAACUCCUGCCGCUCACAACCGGCGCCCUACCUCGGACCGGGCCGGAGCCCAGUCGGGGCUAUUGAAACGGCGGGACAGGGUUGACGCAGAGCACAUUACAUCCAUCCCACCGUCCCACGGACGCCGGACCGGUGGCCGCCAGCGACACGACCACAUCAAACAUUCCUUAGAUGAUUCUUGUCCAUUUGAUGGUUACCUGUACUUUUUGGCUCAUUCUUACAUAACACAUUGUUCCCUUUUCGUGCAAGUCAAUGUAUUUUACACUUUAUACCAUAGAGAAAUAAAGUUGGAGAUUCAAUAAGCUA